AUUGAACGCUGGCGGCAUGCCUUACACAUGCAAGUCGAACGGCAGCACGGACUUCGGUCUGGUGGCGAGUGGCGAACGGGUGAGUAAUGCAUCGGAACGUACCCGGUAGUGGGGGAUAACUACCCGAAAGGGUGGCUAAUACCGCAUAUACUGUGCGCAGGAAAGCAGGGGACCUUCGGGCCUUGUGCUACCGGAGCGGCCGAUGUCAGAUUAGGUAGUUGGUGGGGUAACGGCCUACCAAGCCUGCGAUCUGUAGUGGGUCUGAGAGGAUGAUCCGCCACACUGGGACUGAGACACGGCCCAGACUCCUACGGGAGGCAGCAGUGGGGAAUUUUGGACAAUGGGCGCAAGCCUGAUCCAGCCAUGCCGCGUGAGUGAAGAAGCCUUCGGGUUGUAAAGCUCUUUCGGACGGAAAGAAAUCGCGCAGGCUAAUACCCUGCGCGGAUGACGGUACCGUCCUAAAAAGCACCGGCUAACUACGUGCCAGCAGCCCGCGGUAAUACGUAAGGGUGCGAGCGGUAAUCGGAAUUACUGGGCGUAAAGCGUGCGCAGGCGGGUUGAUUAA
rnacentral:rRNA from 1 species